AGUCAGAUGGGAGGGGGUGCAGAUGUGAUGUAAGUACAGCAAAGUUAUGUUUAAAUAUGUUUUAGAAAUUAAACUGGCUAUGGGAAAUAUAUUAUCAAUUUAUCACCCAGCAAUAUAUCUUCCCUGCAGCCAUAUGAAACUCUAGCACAAAUUAGAGGCCACAUUAUUGAAAAAAGUUUGCUGAAAGUAUGAUUAAUAGGAUUAUAAAACUACAAGUAUAUUAGAAUCAUGAUAAGAUUAUAAUUACAAUGCAGAAGGGAAGUAAUGAUAAUGAGGAUGCUGAUGAUAAUGAGGAUGAUGAAGAUAAGGUUGAGCAUCACAACCAUCAUGAUCACCUAAUUUUGUACCAGAUCACAAACAGUAAUUUGUCAGGUGAUGUAAAGUUUGAUUAUUUCAAUAUUAACUUUUGGCUAUAAGCAAAGUUUUUAGAGUUAUAUAUAAUUUCGUCUAUUUUAUUCUCUCUCUUCUGCUUCCUGACAUAAACACAAAGCACAAAAUAUGUAUAAUAUAUAUGAUUUGCUAGCAAUAGUUCAAAGAGCAUGCCUGAACUUUUUGUCAUAUUCCAAAAUUCUCUGAACCUUUACAAGCCAUGUUAAUUACUUGACUGAACUUUGGAAAAAGAUUUAUAGUAUUGAAGCAACAGAAUUAAAGUUGACCUUAGAGAAAGGAUGUUUCUCCAAAAUUACUACUGAGAAAAGAACUGCAAGUAUUCACAACUCAUAAAUCUUGAAUUCCUGACAUACAAAAUUAACCAUUUAUUUCUCACAAAGGAAAUUCUUUUCAGAUUCUCUGCAAGAGCUAGUAUCGGGCAUUGUAUUCGGGCUUACUUAAUCUGUCAUGUGAGAAUCGAAUAUUUAUAAUAGGAAAAAAUAUUGAUAAUAAUAAUAAUAAUAAGAAAAAUUAUAAUUAGAAUAAUGAGAUUGAAUUGUUGAUAAUAAAUGAUGGAUAGGUAUGUCACCCACCAGCUAUCAUUGUCAAUACAAAUGAGUCAACAUCUGGUUAAGCCAAGUUGAAAAUUAUAUCUUUAUGGGGAUCAUGAUGAUUAUGAUUAUGAUGUGUAGUACUAGUCAGUCCUGAUUCAGUAGACCUAUGAUGAUGGUGAUGAUGAUGAUGAUGAUGACAGUGGUAAACAAUAAAGAAUUGAAUAGUUUAGGUGUAUGUAUAAGUACCUGUUUAUAUAGACAAUGGUGUAAAUGUAAAUUGUAAUAGAAAGUCUUGUUUACAUUAUUAACAGAAUACUCUAGUAAGUUAACACUCUACUUAGUUUUGGUAUUGUAAUCUGCAAGGGGAUACAGACUUGGCUGCCAAUCAAAAUUGCUCAAGUGCUUUCUCUAAGGACACACAAUGCAAAAAUAUUUGUUGCCAGAUAUGAACCAUGGGAAAAGGUAUUUUGAUAUGUACAUUAUUCUAUUAGGUCAAAUAUCAUCAAUGUAUUCAUAUUUUUACACACACACACACACAACAGUUCACUUUUGCAUUUUUGAAAACAUUGAUGGUCACAGCCAUAGAGUAACAGAAAACUCUGUUUAUAACUUAUCUCUGACACCACAUCAGACUAAAAAACUGAGUUCACUUAGCAUGAAAUGGUUACCCCACAUGGUGUGAAGGUGGUAUAAUUCUCUGCUGUAAACAGAGUUAGCUUUGUAGAAGUGACAGAGUUGUGUUAGCUUGCAAUUCUGAUUACUUUUCCUCUAGUUAGAAAUAUUAACUGUGACACUGUGUUAGACCAACAUCAUAGGUGAAGGAUUAGUCUGUCAGCCACUUAAUACAAUGGAAUAUCCAUGUACUUCAUAGAUCUUAUGGUUUGAAAAAGAGGAUUAGUUUCAGUAUCUUACUGUAUAUGCAUGAGUAAAUAGCAAUACAUAAUAGCAAGACACUUCCACAAGGCGACCUCAUCAUGCAUAGUAUUCCAGUAUAGAUUAACAUGAUGAUGAACUAUAUAU